rnacentral:tRNA from 1 species
GUCUGGGCAUGGAUGUUCUUAUUUGGACACCUUGUUUGGGCUACUGGAUUUAUGUUCUUAAUUUCUUGGCGUGGGUAUUGGCAGGAAUUGAUUGAAACUUUAGCCUGGGCUCAUGAGCGAACACCUUUAGCCAAUUUGAUUCGCUGGAGAGAUAAACCAGUGGCCCUUUCCAUUGUGCAAGCAAGAUUGGUUGGAUUAGCCCACUUUUCUGUAGGUUAUAUAUUUACUUAUGCGGCUUUCUUAAUUGCCUCUACGUCGGGCAAAUUUGGUUAAUUUUUUAAUUCAUUUUUGAAUGUGGUUGUAUCCGAGAAAGAUUCAUUUCUUUGGAUGGAGAGGGGUUCGGCCUUCUUAUAUUUCUACAUCUAGGAUUCGACUUGUAUCAGGGAUACCAAGAGGAACUAAACCAUUAUGGCAAGGAAAGGUUUGAUUCAGCGGGAGAAGAAAAGGCAAAAAUUGGAACAUAAAUAUCAUUUGAUUCGUCGAUCCUCAAAAAAAGAAAUAAGCAAAGUUCAGUCGUUAAAUGACAAAUGGGAAAUUUAUAGAAAGUUACAAUCCCCACCGCGGAAUAGCGCACCUACACGUUUUCAUCGACGUUGUUUUGCGACCGGAAGACCGAGAGCUAAUUAUCGAGACUUUGGACUAUCUGGACAUAUACUUCGAGAAAUGGUUCAUGCAUGUUUGUUGCCUGGAGCAACAAGAUCCAGUUGGUAAGGAUUAACCUUUGAUUUCUAUUUGAUGGUUGGUGAUCGGGGGGCCCCUUUACCAUUCUGUAUAAAUCGGCUAUUCUAUUGUACAGAUAUGGUAGAGGGGCACAUUCAACCCUUGGUUGUCUAUUAGUUUUCGGUUCUUCUCGUUAGCGCGGGGUAGAGCAGUUUGGUAGCUCGCAAGGCUCAUAACCUUGAGGUCACGGGUUCAAAUCCCGUCUCCGCAACAUCUUGUUUGUAAACAAUUUUUAGGUUUUACUCUGUUAACUAGUAAUUCAUUAUCUGCUUUUCUUUUUAGAUAAGGAUAGAAUCAUUAAAUGAUCGCGGCCAAUUAUACUAAAUACCUUAUCAUUAUCAUAUUAACUAAAUUACUUUAGUUUAGUUUGAGCGGAUAGCGGGAAUCGAACCCGCGUCUUCUCCUUGGCAAAGAGAAAUUUUACCAUUCGACUAUAUCCGCAUUUUUUGUUCUUGAUACAUAAUGAUACCUAAUAUGUUCACACAAUAUUAAAUUCAUAGAUACUUGGAUCAUUUUUGGGAACGAACAGAGGCUCGACUCAGAUCGAUUCAAAUUAUUGUAUUAAUUUAUUCUUUUAUCAUUCAAGAAUUUUUCAAAAAGUUUGACCCCCUAUAUUUUUUUCUUUAUUUUAUUUGCAUUUUCUUUUGGGGACUUAUAUUAAAUAUUAAAUUUGAAGUUUACUACGUCUCCCAAACGAGGAAAAUUUGCGGGGGUCAUUUCGGUUUCGGCUCUGGAACAGAUAGGUUUUCAAGAGAUGAGAGAAUUAAGGAUACCGACUAGAAAAACUAACCCAAUCCAUAAUGAUGUGCCGGAAAAUAUAACAUUUUUGUUACUUGACCAACCGUCGGGAGAAGCAAAUACAACAGGCACACUAAUCAAUAAGAUUAAUGAAGUAGCAAUUAAUGCAAAAACAGCCAAUUGGAAAGCAAGGGUCAUACUUUUAAUCCUCCACUCUAACAACAAAUGAACUUAUACCAUUUGAUCCCCCUAUCAACAACAAAAUUUUAAUAAAUUCAAUCCUCGAAGGAUUGAAGUUACCGUGAUUCAAUAUGACGUAUUACUACCUACUUUUUUAUACAUACACGGGUCGAGGGAACUGGAAUUUAUUUGAUUUCAAAAAAGGGCGUGCUGCCUCACAUAUAUGGUACGGAUAAGAUAUAUUGAUCGGUGUAUUCCCGCCGUAGAUCUUUCUACGGAUAGCGGUGGAUACCACCGCUAUGGUCAUGUUCUAUUCGGAGGAAUAAAAUAAAAAUUGUGUUUCG